AAGAUCUUACUUCAUAGGAUAAUUUAUAUAGUAAGCUCUUCGCCAAGCUAUCACAAUACGUGAGCUGACCCCAUCCACGAAGAUGAGUCGUGGCGCGGUGAAGCGCGAGAAAGGCGAUGUCCGGUCAUCAGCCAUCGAUGAUCGUUCACCUCCCUCCAGGGGGAGGCGUGGG